GCCCUGAUCAAACGAGAACGCAAGUCAUCGCAAGUUUUAACUUGCACUUGCUUGCGCCUCGUUUGACCACCAACUUGCGUUGACUUGCGUUAACUUGCGAAUGAUUUGAGCUGGUUCAAACUUCAUCGCAAGCUUUUUUAAACUUGUGAGCACUUGCGAUACGUUUGAUCAGAAGUGCAAGCUCAAGCAAGUUUUUUGAGACCAGUUUCCAUGGACACCAUAGUCCCUAGUCUAUAAAAUGACCUUUUUCUGGUCUUCGCUUAAUCCAUUCUCUUGUUUUUCCACGUUUCCAAG